GAUGAACGCUGGCGGCGUGCUUAACACAUGCAAGUCGAACGGUGAAGGCGGAGCUUGCUCUGCUGGAUCAGUGGCGAACGGGUGAGUAACACGUGAGCAAUCUGCCCCUGACUCUGGGAUAAGCGCUGGAAACGGCGUCUAAUACUGGAUACGAGCUGCGAAGGCAUCUUCAGCAGCUGGAAAGAAUUUCGGUCAGGGAUGAGCUCGCGGCCUAUCAGCUUGUUUGUUAGGUAAUGGCUCACCAAGGCGUCGACGGGUAGCCGGCCUGAGAGGGUGACCGGCCACCCUGGGACUGAGACACGGCCCAGACUCCUACGGGAGGCAGCAGUGGGGAAUAUUGCACAAUGGGCGAAAGCCUGAUGCAGCAACGCCGCGUGAGGGACGACGGCCUUCGGGUUGUAAACCUCUUUUAGCAGGGAAGAAGCGAAAGUGACGGUACCUGCAGAAAAAGCGCCGGCUAACUACGUG
rnacentral:rRNA from 1 species